rnacentral:lncRNA from 1 species
GUAUGAUGUUGCCUAUUUAUCAGCAAACAUAUAAUUAUAAACAUGAUAUAUAGGCUGCAAAACACUCAAUCAAGCAUUAAUCUAUGGAGAGAACCUCCCUUUUGUUAUCCUGGUUGUAACGUUCAUAAAAAAAAAUCAUUAAAAUUACGGUAUAGAAAACUGCAGUAUAAGUAUAAUUUUUUCUGUAACUUCCCCCACCCCCAUACAGACAAAGCACACAAUGAUUAAUGUGACAAUAAUUGUGAUCCGAGUGUAUUUUUUUAAUUGUCUUUUGGAAAGCAUACGAAAUGUUCUUAUUUUUUCUGUUUUAUUUGUAAUCCAUUAUCAUAUUUCAGAUAAUGACACCGGA